rnacentral:rRNA from 1 species
CCUAUGGGGUGCAGCAGGCGCGAAACCUCCGCAACGCGGGCAACCGUGACGGGGUCACCCCGAGUGCCCCCUAUAAGGGGGCUUUUCCCCGCUGUAGGAAGGCGGGGGAAUAAGCGGGGGGCAAGUCUGGUGUCAGCCGCCGCGGUAAUACCAGCCCCGCGAGUGGUCGGGACGGUUAUUGGGCCUAAAGCGCCCGUAGCCGGCCUGGUAAGUCCCCCUCUAAAUCCCCGGGCUCAACCCGGGGGUUGGGGGGGAUACUGCCAGGCUAGGGGGCGGGAGAGGCCGAGGGUACUCCCGGGGUAGGGGCGAAAUCCUAUAAUCCCGGGAGGACCACCAGUGGCGAAGGCGCUCGGCUGGAACGCGCCCGACGGUGAGGGGCGAAAGCCGGGGGAGCGAACCGGAUUAGAUACCCGGGUAGUCCCGGCUGUAAACGAUGCGGGCUAGGUGUUGGGCGGGCUUAGAGCCCGCCCAGUGCCGCAGGGAAGCCGUUAAGCCCGCCGCCUGGGGAGUACGGCCGCAAGGCUGAAACUUACAGGAAUUGGCGGGGGAGCACCACAAGGGGUGGAGCCUGCGGUUUAAUUGGAGUCAACGCCGGGAACCUCACCGGGGGCGACAGCAGGAUGACGGCCAGGCUAACGGCCUUGCCCGACGCGCUGAGAGGAGGUGCAUUGGCCGUCGCCAGCUCGUGCCGUGAGGUGUCCGGUAAAGUCUGGCAACGAGCGAGACCCCCGCCCCUAGUUGCUACCCGGGGCUCCGGCCCCGGGGCACACUAGGGGGACUGCCGCCGUCCAAGGCGGAGGAAGGAGGGGGCCACGGCAGGUCAGCAUGCCCCGAAUCCCCCGGGCUACGCGCGGGCUACAAUGGCGGGGACAGCGGGAUCCGACCCCGAAAGGGGGAGGCAAUCCCUCAAACCCCGCCGCAGUUGGGAUCGAGGGCUGCAACUCGCCCUCGUGAACGUGGAAUCCCUAGUAACCGCGCGUCAUCAUCGCGCGGUGAAUACGUCCCUGCUCCUUGCACUCACCGCCCGUC